rnacentral:snRNA from 1 species
GUGCUCGCUUCGGCAGCACAUAUAAUAAAAUUGGAAUGAUACAGAGAAGAUUAGCAUGACCCCUGCACAAGGAUGACAUGCAAAUUCGUGAAGCAUUCUAUAUAUAA